AUGAACAAAGCCGGCCGCCUCGCGCUCGUCAAGGCCAUCCUCAGCGCAAUCCCGAUUCACCAGCUACUUGCUCUCACGCCCCCCAAGAAGACCAUCCGGGCACUCGAGAAAAUUCAGCGAGGCUUCUUGUGGGCUGGGCGCCCGGAGGCAAACGGAGGCCACUGCCAUGUCAACUGGCAACGCGUCGCUAGGCCGCUCCCGCUUGGUGGCCUCGGCGUGCGCGACCUUGGCCGUACCAGCCUCGUGCUCCGCACCCGCUGGUUGUGGUUCAGCCGCACGGACAACACCAGAGCAUGG
rnacentral:rRNA from 1 species